AAUAGCUGAAAAUUGUAUACAAAAUGUUAUAGCGUUUGCUGAUGGAGCUUGAAGAGUUUGCUUUUCAAGGAUGCCCAGAUGUGCGUGGCCCCCAUUCAAAGAAAAGUCCACAAAAGAGCUUGCAAGACUACGAAGAACAGCUAAGUCUUGAGAAAAA